UUGUUGGGCCAAAGGGCCUGUUUCCACACUGUAGGGAUUCUUUGAAAAAAGUUGUGGGUGUGUGGAAUGCGCUGCCAACAGUGGUAAUGGAGUCAGAUCCACCUUUAAGCGACUCCUGGAAAGACACAUGGAUGGUAGUAAAAUGCAGGGUCGUUUAUCUUAGUAGGAUAAUAGGUCAUCACAAUAUUGCAGGCUGAAGUGUGUGUACUGUGCUGCAGUGUUCAAUGUUCUAAAAGCAGCCUUGCAAUCAGAAAUGUGCUUGUAAUGCCUCAUUCCUGUUUGUCCUUCCAGGAACUUGAGGAAGACCAUUCAGACAGACAGGAAGCAGCUGACAUAAGCAAUGUGGCAGAUUGAGUGAGGUAAGGAAACAUCCUGCUGAUUGCCAAGUACUCUACUUCCUUGGGUGAAGAAUCAAUUCUCCUCCAUGUUGAAGAGCACUUGGAUGGAACUCUGGGGCUGAACCACAGGGACUUCAAUGUCUGGUCUCAGGUUUAACAACUCUUGGGAUUUCACAGGCGGCAUCCAGAUCUACCUCGUGGCUGGGAAAAGGCUUUCACUUUUGAAGGUGCAACAUAUUUCAUCAAAGGAAAUGUCCAACAUCAAUGGCCCAGAGCAGCAGGAAACUGAGAGAAAUGGUGAAGAGCAGAACAAUGGAUCUCUUACGGUUUGCCAUCUCGGGGUCUGUGUCAUUCUCAGCACCUAUAAGUUUCCUACGGACUUUUCUGGUCUCUACGAUUUGUCUUACAGUCAGGACAUUGAGUAUCAGGAUGAUGAGAAAUGGGAGAAAGGGUGUUAAGAUGUGCUCCAUCCACUCAUAGGCCUGCCAGACAGGUAAAGUAUAAAAGAUAGACUUUAUGCCACAGAACCAGGCUACCCCAUCCAAGAUGUAGAAGGGCUUGUAGAUAGUAUACAAAGGGAAAUUUUUGACACAACUUAGAAGAAAGAUUGCUCCUAUGACAAGCAGCGCAGUUUUCUCUGUGCAGUAUCUGAUCCUCAAGCUCUGAGAGCAAAUGAACACAAAACGAUCUAUGGUAAAGGCUGCGGUUAUCCAGACUGAGCCAUCCCGGCUGCAGCGAACCAAGAUUGUGGUCAGCCUGCAGACAGGGGUUGUGGACAGGACACUGUUGCUAAAGUAAAUGCGGCUGAUCCGGUUCAGGAUGCAGCCAGUGAUGAUAACAAGGAAAUCUGUCACAGCAAUCGCCAUUAAAUAGUAGGUGAUGCAUCUUGGGAGUCCACACCGUCCUCUGGAUAGGAUUAAAAUUGCCACCAAGUUUGCUGUGAGAGACAGAGUUUAAUAGAUUACUCAAGUAUGAAAUAUAAUGAAUAUCAUUAUGUGAAUGUUAUCCAAAUAGAUAUUUCCAAGUUGAUCCCAAGCACCACCUACUGCCUCACCUGAUCUGACAAUGAAACUCUCUUGAUCCAUUACCGUGGCAUAUCCAGACUCUGACUAUCCAAAAGUCAUUGGUAUGUGUGUGUGCAAUAGUCGGAAACAAUCCUUAUUGAUACAUAGAACCACUGGCCCAGUACACCUGUGCUCACUGACUCAUACUAACACCAUGGGUGGCAGUUUCACAACUGUAAUAAUCUCAUUGUGUAUGUUAUUAAAGACCUCAUCAUUUGCUACACCCUACCUUUCAGCAUCGCAUUAUUAUCUGAGAUUUGAAUAAUUCUCCAAUUCUACCCUCUUGUUUAUUCCAUAUAUUUAACACUCCAGCUGUGAUGGCGAGGCCUUUAAUUGUUGAGUUGAAAUUUCUGCCCUCAACAGCCCAGUCUCUAUUCCCUUGUUCAGGUCACUCCUUGUAUCUUAACUUUUUGAUCAUCGUCUUCUUUGUUUUUUCCAAUAUGUCUUUGUGAUGUUCUGUGUAAAAUCUGUUCACGAAACCUGUGAAUUUCCUGCCAUUCAUAUUGCAAGGUCAGAAGAAAUAAAGCACCUCCGCGUGCUCAAGUAUGAACUAGAACUGAAAGGAGAGGUUGAACAUUAUAGUAAAACCAUAUCU